AUUUCUUUCAUUCAAUCAUCUACACAUUCUUUCGAAUAACUGCUAAUAAGAACUUGCCCAACAUUCCUAAUCUAUUAUAACUGCAUUCCAAUUCUGUUAUAAUCACUAGCUGCCAUUGUUAACCACCUUAACAGUCUAGCCGACACCUAACAAAGUCCAUGAUCUGUUACUUGACUAGUAACAGCAACCAUAAAAUGGAUUCAGGUCGAGGUGCUUUACAUGUAAAUUUCACUUGUGAUAAUUUAGGUGCAGUCUUUAAGUUUCAAUUUCUAUUAUACAAAUACUCUAGAAUUUACUAAAAUAAGACUGCUAUACCCAGAUUAGCCCUGGAAAGUACAAACUAUCACCGAGGUCAUCAAUUUUAAUUAAAAACUGAAAACAGACUUCAAUUCCCAUGUUCCUAUCGCUUUAACAUAGAAAUUCAUGAUGUAAGUAGAGGAAAAAGCUGUACAAUGAAAAAGACAACAGACCCACCUGAUGUUAUUCACCAUUUG
rnacentral:misc_RNA from 1 species